CCUANGGGCGGCAGCAGUCGAGAAUCUUCCACAAUGGGCGCAAGCCUGAUGGAGCGACGCCGCGUGAAUGAUGAAGCCCUUCGGGGCGUAAAAUUCUUUUAUAAGGGAACAAUCCCGCUUUUAGCGGGAUGAGCUUACCUUAUGAAUAAGGGGCUGCUAACUCUGUGCCAGCAGCAGCGGUAAUACAGAGGCCCCAAGCGUUAUCCGGAAUCACUGGGCGUAAAGCGUGAGUAGGCGGUUUUGAUAGUGGGUGGUUAAAUUCCAGGGCUCAACCCUGGAGCUGCCAUUCAAACGUCAAGACUAGAGCAAGUGAGAGGCUGAUGGAACCUACCAAGUAGGGGUGAAAUCCGUUGAUAUGGUAGGGAACACCAAAGGCGAAGGCAUUCAGCUGGUGCUUAGCUGACGCUGAAUCACGAAAGCGUGGGGAGCAAAAAGGAUUAGAUACCCCGNUANUC
rnacentral:rRNA from 1 species